UACGGAGGAUCCGAGCGUUAUCCGGAAUUAUUGGGUUUAAAGGGUGCGUAGGCGGCCAUUUAAGUCAGCGGUGAAAUUUUGCAGCUUAACUGUAACAGUGCCGUUGAUACUGUUUGGCUAGGAUUUGGUUGUAGUGUGCGGAAUGUGUGGUGUAGCGGUGAAAUGCUUAGAUAUCACACAGAACACCGAUUGCGAAGGCAGCACACUAAGUCAUUAUUGACGCUGAGGCACGAAAGUGUGGGGAGCAAACAGGAUUAGA
rnacentral:rRNA from 1 species